ACAUGCAAGUCGAACGAAGUAGCAAUACUUAGUGGCAGACGGGUGAGUAACAUGUAGGUAUCUUCCCUUUGGUGAGGAAUAACACGAGGAAACUUGUGCUAAUACCUCAUAAGUCUUUACGGAGAAAGCUUUAUGCGCCGAAGGAUGAGCCUGCACUUGAUUAGUUUGUUGGUGGGGUAAUGGCCUACCAAGACUUUGAUCUAUAGCUGAUCUGAGAGGAUGAUCAGCCACAUUGGGACUGAGACACGGCCCAAACUCCUACGGGAGGCAGCAGUAGGGAAUAUUGCACAAUGGAGGAAACUCUGAUGCAGCGAUGCCGCGUGAGUGAAGAAGGCCUUUGGGUUGUAAAGCUCUUUCGUCGGGGAAGAAAAUGACUGUACCCGAAUAAGAAGGUCCGGCUAACUUCGUGCCAGCAGCCGCGGUAAUACGAAGGGACCUAGCGUAGUUCGGAAUUACUGGGCUUAAAGAGUUCGUAGGUGGUUAAAAAAGUUGGUGGUGAAAUCCCAGAGCUUAACUCUGGAACUGCCAUCAAAACUUUUUAGCUAGAGUAUGACAGAGGAAAGCAGAAUUUCUAGUGUAGAGGUGAAAUUCGUAGAUAUUAGAAAGAAUACCAAUUGCGAAGGCAGCUUUCUGGAUCAUUACUGACGCUGAGGAACGAAAGCAUGGGUAGCGAAGAGGAUUAGAUACCCUCGUAGUCCAUGCCGUAAACGAUGUGUGUUAGACGUUGGAAAUUUAUUUUCAGUGUCGCAGCGAAAGCGUUAAACACACCGCCUGGGGAGUACGACCGCAAGGUUAAAACUCAAAUGAAUUGACGGGGACCCGCACAAGUAGUGGAGCAUGUGGUUAAUUCGAAGAUACGCGCAGAACCUUACCAACACUUGACAUGUUCGUCGCGACUCUAGAGAUUAGAGUUUUCGGUUCGGCCGGACGAAACACAGGUGCUGCAUGCUGUCGUCAGCUCGUGUCGUGAGAUGUGGUAGUCCCGCACGAGCGCACCACGGUUUUAGUGCAGCAUUUAGUGGACACUCUAGAAGACGCGGUGAUAACGAGAGGUGUGAUGACGUCAGUCAUCAUGCCCCUACCCCUGGCUUACCACGUACUACAUGCUACGAAAAGGCGCAAUCGGGGAGCUAGCAAUUCAUACCGUGCUCAGUUCGAUCGUAGGGUGAGCUCGCCUCAG
rnacentral:rRNA from 1 species